GACGAACGCUGGCGGCGUGCUUAACACAUGCAAGUCGAACGGUAAGGCCCUUCGGGGUACACGAGUGGCGAACGGGUGAGUAACACGUGGGUGAUCUGCCCUGCAUUUCGGGAUAAGCCUGGGAAACUGGGUCUAAUACCGGAUAGGACUCCUGGCUUCAUGGUUGGGGGUGGAAAGCUUUUGCGGUGUGGGAUGGGCCCGCGGCCUAUCAGCUUGUUGGUGGGGUCAUGGCCUACCAAGGCGACGACGGGUAGCCGGCCUGAGAGGGUGACCGGUCACACUGGGACUGAGAUACGGCCCAGACUCCUACGGGAGGCAGCAGUGGGGAAUAUUGCACAAUGGGCGCAAGCCUGAUGCAGCGACGCCGCGUGAGGGAUGACGGCCUUCGGGUUGUAAACCUCUUUCAGCUAUGACGAAGCGCAAGUGACGGUAGUAGCAGAAGAAGGACCGGCCAACUACGUGCCAGCCGCCGCAGUAA
rnacentral:rRNA from 1 species